CGAGGUAUUAUGGGGUUCCUCGAGGUAUUAUGGGGUUCCUUGAGGUAUUAUGGGGCUACUCAAGGUAUUAGGGGGUUCCUCAAGGUAUUAUGGGGUUACUCAAGGUAUUAUGGGGCUACUCAAGGUAUUAUGGAGCUGAGGUACUAUGGGGUUACUCGAGGUAUUAUGGGUCUACUCAAGGUAUUAUGGGGCUACUCAAGGUAUUAUGGAGUUCCUCAAGGGGGCUGCUCAAGGUAUUAUGGGGCUACUCGAGGUAUUAUGGGGUUCCUCAAGGUAUUAUGGAGUUACUCAAGGUAUUAGGGGGUUCCUCAAGGUAUUAUGGGUCUACUCAAGGUAUUAUGGGUCUAGUCAAGGUAUUAAGGGGUUCCUCAAGGUAUUAAGGGGUUACUCAAGGUAUUAUGGGGUUCCUCAAGGUAUUAUGGGUCUACUCAAGGUAUUACAGGGUUCCUC